rnacentral:lncRNA from 1 species
UGUAGUGUCCAUUGCCUCUUGUGAGGCGCCGGACACGUGCUCUUGCGAGCGGGAAGAUUUCAGAGGGAGUCCCGCCUUGGAGGGCAAGACCCCUGCGCCCACCAGCCCGGAGGUCGAUGGGGCUCCCAGAGGGAUUUGGCUACGCCGGCCGUUGCCAGCGCAUGAAGGAACCUCGGAAGUUGAGGCAGCCUCGGCUGCGCCCUCCUUCGGGGUCGAUGGUUCCUUCUCCUCGGUUGACGGAGCAGCGCUAGCUGCAACCGUCGCGGGGGCAGAUGGCGUGACUGCCGACUCACUGCUUGUGGGUCGGACAGCCGCCGGAGGCCGUUGUGACGCUGCCCCCUGACGCGCCACUUCGGCAAAGCUUUUCUUUGGCAGGAUGGGCACGACCGUGAGUACGCGGCGUGAUCCCCAUCACAGUUUACACAGUGUAGAGAGUUCUUACAUUCUUCAGUUGCGUGUUCAAGGGCACUGCAUUUGGCGCAUGUUUGGCGGCCUCGGCAGCUCUGCGAGCUGUGGCCAAAACGUUGGCAUUUGAAACAUCUCAAGGGAUUUGGCACACACGGGCGUACACGAAGCUUGAUGUACCCGGCCUCGAUUGACUCGGGCAGGACACUUGAAUUGAAGGUGAGUAUUAGGUGUUUGGUCGGAAUUUCUUUACCGUCUCGCCUUAUCUUGAUCCUUUUGACAUUUAUGACAUUCUGUUCGCUGAAGCCCUCCAAGAGCUCAGCCUCAGAGAGCUCCAGCAAAUCAUCGUCCGAGACAACGCCGCGGGAAGUAUUCAUCGUGCGGUGCGGGGUUACUACUAUUUGGGUCUCCCCAAAUGAUACUAGCUGAGGCAGUUUUUCAAAUUGCUUCUGAUCGCGGAGCUCCAGGAGGAGGUCUCCGCUAGCCAUCCUCGACACCUUAUAUCCUGGACCAAAAACUUCGAGUGGAUCACGUGAAAACGAGG